UCCGGUUGAUCCUGCCGGAGGCGACCGCUAUUGGAGUUCGAUUAAGACAUGCGAGUCUGAGCAUUAGCUCGGCGUACCGCUCAGUAACACGUGGGUAACCUGCCCUAUCGUUUUGAAUAACCUCGGGAAACUGAGAACAAUACAUCAUAGUCCACUACGCCUGGAACGGUGAGUGGAUGAAGGUAGGAUGGGCCUGCGGCGUAUCAGGUUGUAGGGGGUGUAAUGGACCUCCUAGCCAUCGACGCGUACGGGUGUUGGGAGACAUAGCCCGGAGAUGGAUUCUGAGACACGAAUCCAGGCCCUACGGGGCGCAGCAGUUACGAAAACUUGGCAAUGCGGGAAACCGUGACCAGGGAACUCCAAGUGAGUCUCUUUUAGGGGCUCUUUUCUUGACUCUAAAACGGUCUUGGAAUAAGGGGUGGGUAAGGACGGUGCCAGCCGCCGCGGUAAUACCGGCGCCUCAAGUGGUCGUCGCUUUUAUUGGGCCUAAAACGUCCGUAGCCGGUUUGGUACAUUCGUGGGUAAAUCAACUCGCUCAACGAGUUGAAUUCUGCGAGNACGGCCAGACUNGGGACCGGGAGAGGUGUGGGGNACUCUCAGGGUAGGGGUAAAAUCCUGUCAUCCUGAGAGGACCACCUGUUGCGAAGGCGCCACACUAGAACGGAUCCGACGGUCAGGGACGAAGCCUAGGGGCACGAACCGGAUUAGAUACCCGGGUAGUCCUAGGUGUAAACGCUGUGGACUUGGUGUUGGGGANGCUCCGAGAGCUUUCCCAGUGCCGNAGCGAAGGUGNUNAGUCCACUGCCUGGGGAGUACGGUCGCAAGGCUGAAACUUAAAGGAAUUGGCGGGGGAGCACUGCAACCGGAGGAGUGUGCGGUUUAAUUGGAUUCAACGCCGGAAAACUCACCAGCAUCGACGGACAAAUGAAAGCCAACUUAACGAGUUUGCUGGAUUGUUCGAGAGGUCGUGCAUGGCCGCCGUCAGUUCGUACCGUAAGGCGUUCUGUUAAGUCAGAUAACGAACGAGACCCUCAUCCUUAUUUGCCACCCUAUCGCUUGCGAUAGGACGGGACUAUAAGGAGACCGCUGGCGCUAAGUCAGAGGAAGGCGAGGGCAACGGUAGGUCAGUAUGCGCCGAAUAUGCUGGGCUACACGCGCACUACAAAGGAUGGGACAAUGAGCAGCUACACCGAGAGGUGAUGCGAUCCCGAAACCCAUUCGUAGUUCGGAUCGAGGGCUGUAACUCGCCCUCGUGAAGCUGGAUUCGGUAGUAAUCGCGUCUCAAAAAGGCGCGGUGAAUAUGCCCCUGCUCCUUGCACACACCGCCCGUCAAACCAUCUUAGUUGGGGGUGGAUGAGGCUGCGUCCCUAGGGCGUAUUCGAGUCUGCCUUCGACAAGGAGGGUUAAGUCGUAACAAGGUAUCUGUAG
rnacentral:rRNA from 1 species